ensembl:snoRNA
UGUGUGUGUGUGUGUGUGUGUUUAAUUUGUAGCAAAGACUUACAGACAGGCUCAAAAACAAAAAUCCUGUUUUGUAAAUCCUCAUCGCUCAGUAUAAGUUUUGAUACAUGUAAGAAGGGGUAUA